rnacentral:rRNA from 1 species
UCUGGUUGAUCCUGCCUGAACUGAUGUGUUCAUUUCAAAGAUUAAGCCAUGCAUGUAUAAGUAUAACCUGCCAGACAGGGAAACUGCGUACGGCUCAUUACACCAGCCUUAAUUUACUUGACCUUGACACCCUACUUGGAUAACUGUGGUAAUUCUAGAGCUAAUACAUGCACAAAAGCUCCGCUCUUCCCAGAGCAGAGUGCAUUUGUUCGCCACAAAACCAAGCGCCCCCAUGGGCGUUCUGUGUUGACUCAGAACAACUAAGCUGAUCGCACGGUCUUGCACCGGCGACGUGUCUUUCAAGUGUCUGCCUUAUCAACUUUCGAUGGUGGUGUAUCUGACCACCAUGGUGAUGACGGGUAACGGAGGAUCAGGGUUCGACUCCGGAGAGGGCGCCUGAGAAAUGGCGACCACGUCUAAGGAUGGCAGCAGGCGCGCAAAUUACCCACUCUCGACUCGAGGAUGUAGUGACGAGAAAUAACGGGGCUGUUCUCGAUUGAGGCCAGUCAUCGGAAUGGGUACAAUUCAAACCCUUUAACGAGUAUCUAUGACAGGGCAAGUCUGGUGCCAGCAGCCGCGGUAAUUCCAGCUGUCAAAAUGCAUAGAAUUAUUGCUGCGGUUAAAAAGCUCGUAGUUGGAUCUGUGCUAGGUGUCCGGUCCGCCCUCUGGGUGUGCACUGGUGCACCCAGCUUUCCCGCCGGUCUCUCCCUGAUGUUGGCUUUAACCGGCUGGCAUUAGUGGGCUGGCAGCUUUACUUUGAACAAAUCAGAGUGCUUCAAACAGGCGUCUCGCCUGAAUGUUCGUGCAUGGAAUAAUAGAAGAGGAUCACGGUCCGAUUUUAUUGGUUUUGCUGACCGAGAUAAUGGUUAACAGAGACAAACGGGGCCAUUCGUAUUGCUACGUGAGAGGUGAAAUUCUUGGACCGUAGCAAGACGGACUACAGCGAAAGCAUUUGGCAAGAAUGUCUUCAUUAAUCAAGAACGAAAGUCAGAGGUUCGAAGGCGAUCAGAUACCGCCCUAGUUCUGACCGUAAACGAUGCCAACUAGCGAUCCGCCAGUCGACUCAUCGCUCUGGUGGGGAGCUUCCCGGAAACGAAAGUCUUCCGGUUCCGGGGGAAGUAUGGUUGCAAAGCUGAAACUUAAAGGAAUUGACGGAAGGGCACCACCAGGAGUG